GAUGAACGCUAGCGGGAGGCUUAACACAUGCAAGUCGAGGGGCAGCAUAGGGUAGCAAUACUCUGAUGGCGACCGGCAAACGGGUGAGUAACGCGUAUGCAACCUACCCUGUACAGGGGGAUAACCCGGAGAAAUUCGGACUAAUAUCCCGUAAUAAUAUCCGGAGGCAUCUUUGGAUAUUUAAAGUUCCGACGGUACGGGAUGGGCAUGCGUAACAUUAACUGGUUGGUAAGGUAACGGCUUACCAAGGCUAUGAUGUUUAGGGGUCCUGAGAGGGUGGUCCCCCACACUGGUACUGAGACACGGACCAGACUCCUACGGGAGGCAGCAGUGAGGAAUAUUGGUCAAUGGGCGCAAGCCUGAACCAGCCAUCCCGCGUGCAGGAAGACGGCCCUAUGGGUUGUAAACUGCUUUUCCAGGGAGAGAAACUUACGCACGUGUUGCGUGACUGACGGUACCCUGGGAAUAAGCAUCGGCUAACUCCGUGCCAGCAGCCGCGGUAAACACGAGAGUAA
rnacentral:rRNA from 1 species